rnacentral:lncRNA from 1 species
UGCACAAUUUACAGGGGUGUUCGCUGGAUAGUGACCAUAACUGAAUAAUGUCUGUAAUAUUAUGUAAUUUUCCCAUGUAGGGUGAACCAGGUCUUCCUGGGCUUCCUGGACUCCCUGGAAUAAAGGGCGAACCAGGUUUCAUUGGUCCUCAAGGAGAACCUGGCUUACCAGGGCUACCAGGAACAAAGGGUGACAGAGGAGAGGCGGGCCCUGUUGGGAAGGGUGAGCGAGGUGAGCCUGGAGUCCCUGGACCAAAGGUCAGUCUGAUUUUAUAAUGGAAAUGUUUUGUUAGUUUUAUACCUUAUGAAUACAUCUUUUCCUGCUGAGAAGU